AAGGAUCAUUACAAAUCCAACGUCUCCCUGAGACACUGUCGAAACAUAUGCUCGUAUCGUAUCAUGGAGAGAGGGACGUGGCCGCACAUACAUGUACAUGUAUAUGUAUAUGUUAUGCGCGGGCACGUUCCCUCGCAACCAUGACAUGACACACACAUACACACUAGAAACUGUUGAUCAUCUGUAUGCUUCUUAACCAAAGAAACAACUUAUACCAAUGGAUCUCUAGGCUCUUGCAUCGAUGAAGAACGCAGCGGCCACAAGGCAUCGAUGUGGAAGUAAAAGUCGUAACAAG
rnacentral:misc_RNA from 1 species